rnacentral:rRNA from 1 species
UACGUAGGGGCCUAGCGUUGUCCGGAUUUAUUGGGCGUAAAGAGCUCGUAGGCGGUUCGGCAAGUCGGAUGUGAAAUCUCCACGCUCAACGUGGAGGGGCCAUUCGAAACUGCCGUGACUCGAGUCCGGUAGGGGAGUGUGGAAUUCCCGGUGUAGCGGUGAAAUGCGCAGAGAUCGGGAGGAACAUCAGUUGCGAAGGCGGCUCUCUGGACCAGCACUGACGCUGAGGCGCGAAAGCUAGGGGAGCAAACAGG